rnacentral:rRNA from 1 species
CCUACGGGAGGCAGCAGUAGGGAAUCUUCCACAAUGGGCGAAAGCCUGAUGGAGCAACGCCGCGUGAGUGAAGAAGGAUUUCGGUUCGUAAAACUCUGUUGUAAGGGAAGAACAAGUACAGUAGUAACUGGCUGUACCUUGACGGUACCUUAUUAGAAAGCCACGGCUAACUACGUGCCAGCAGCCGCGGUAAUACGUAGGUGGCAAGCGUUGUCCGGAAUUAUUGGGCGUAAAGCGCGCGCAGGUGGUUUCUUAAGUCUGAUGUGAAAGCCCACGGCUCAACCGUGGAGGGUCAUUGGAAACUGGGAGACUUGAGUGCAGAAGAGGAUAGUGGAAUUCCAGUGUAGCGGUGAAAUGCGUAGAGAUUUGGAGGAACACCAGUGGCGAAGGCGACUAUCUGGUCUGUAACUGACACUGAGGCGCGAAAGCGUGGGAGCAAACAGGAUUAGAUACCCUGGUAGUCCACGCCGUAAACGAUGAGUGCUAAGUGUUAGGGGGUUUCCGCCCCUUAGUGCUGCAGCUAACGCAUUAAGCACUCCGCCUGGGGAGUACGGUCGCAAGACUGAAACUCAAAGGAAUUGACGGGGGCCCGCACAAGCGGUGGAGCAUGUGGUUUAAUUCGAAGCAACGCGAAGAACCUUAC